rnacentral:lncRNA from 1 species
AUCGGGAUAGAAAGGAAGCAAGUCCACCAUCAGAAGGAAGCACGAGUAUUGUUGAUAGAAGCACUACCAACAUAAGAAGGAAGCACAAAUAGCAUGCACGGCCAGAAGGAUGCACUCCCCCCAUCAAAUGGAAGAAGCAUAACUACCAUUUCAUGGAAGCCCGACCAACGUUGAAAGGAAGCAUGGUUGGCCAUCAGCCCGAUGGUGUUUGAGUUGUGCCUUAGAUGCCACAGUUUUGUUUUAUGGAAGCAAAUCCUGUCAAACCAAAUGUACUGUUUCAAUGAUAAACAUUUCAG